rnacentral:rRNA from 1 species
UGGGGGAAUCUUCCGCAAUGGGCGCAAGCCUGACGGAGCAACGCCGCGUGAGUGAAGAAGGGUUUCGACUCGUAAAGCUCUGUUGUCGGGGACGAAUGUGGAGAUGGUGAAUAACCAUUUCUAAUGACGGUACCUGACGAGGAAGCCACGGCUAACUACGUGCCAGCAGCCGCGGUAAAUACGUAGGUGGCGAGCGUUGUCCGGAAUUAUUGGGCGUAAAGGGAGCGCAGGCGGGAAGGUAAGUCUAUCUUAAAAGUGCGGGGCUCAACCCCGAGGAUUGCCUUUGGAACUGUUUUGCUGGAGUGCUGGAGGGGCAGGCGGAAUUCCUGGUGUAGCGGUGAAAUGCGUAGAUAUCAGGAGGAACACCGGUGGCGAAGGCGGCCUGCUGGACAGUAACUGACGCUG